GGGGUCAUAGUAUAAAGGCAAUUAUUCUAGAUUUGCAUUCUAGGGAUCUGAGUUCGAUUCUCAGUGGCUCCA
rnacentral:tRNA from 1 species